GCUUUCGUGGUGUAACAGUAGCACACUCGGCUCAUAUUCGAGAGAUCCAGGUUCGAAUCCCGUCGAGGGCA
rfam:Stegodyphus mimosarum contig37685, whole genome shotgun sequence.